CCGCCUUGGGAUGCAGCAGAGUAUAGUCAACUCAUCUCUGCAGGGCCGUUGCUGCCACUACUAGAAUAGUAUGCAGGCGUAGGUUCUUAUGACCAAAACACUCUCAGGGGGGCCCCAUGGCAAGUUCAGUCACAAGGCGCUAACACUGACAUAUUUACGGGCAACCAACCUCAACUAGCUAGUAUGGCUAAUCAAGGGCCUUCAUGCAGCACGUGGCAUCAGCCAGCACCCAUGUACCUGCCAUCGACGUCAUACACAGGUCAGUCCAUAAAAAAAGUGAAGUUGCGGAUGUUCAAUUAGCAGAAGGGGCAUAGUUGGCAGCUCCAAAUUGCCAUGACUGGACUUCUACAAUUGCCAUGAAUUUAAAACUACAUUUGCCAUCCCUGGACAACUGUUGUUGCCAUCAGUGGACACUUGCAGUUGCCAUGGAGAAACAACUGCAGUUGCCAUGCCAGA